UAUAGAACAAGAUAGAUAUAUAGAUAGCAGAAACUUUAGGUCCGGUAAGAGUAUAGUGCAGAAAAUGGAAGAAAAAUCCAACAAAUCUCAUAUUGUAGUUCUCCCAAUCCCAGCACAAGGCCACAUAAAUCCAAUGGUUCAAUUUUCCAAAAGAUUGGCAUCAAAAGGAGUUAAUAAAGUGACAUUAGUCACCAUUUACUCUAUUAGCAAGAACAUGCCAAAGGAGUCUGGUUUAAUCAAUAUUGAGUCCAUUCCUCAUGAUGAUGAGUCUCCACCACAAAAUAUUGACAGAAUGCUUGAAUGGUUUCAUCUUUUGGUAUCAAAAAAUUUGACAAAAAUUGUUGAGAAAUUAUCUGAUUCAGAGUACCCUGUGAAAGUUCUUGUUUUCGAUUCGAUGGCAACUUGGGCAAUUGAUCUUGCACAUCAAUUAGGACUAAAAGGGGCUGCUUUUUUCACACAAUCUUGUUCUCUUAGUGCCAUUUACUAUCAUAUGGAUUUAGAGACUACCAAAGUUUCUUUGGAUGGCUCUGAUGUAUCUUUGCCUUCACUUCCAUUGCUGGCAAAGGAAGAUUUGCCUUCUUUCAUCUAUGAUACUGAUUUGUAUCCAGCUCUUAGAGGACUUAUCUUUAGUCAGAACAUCAAUUUCAAGAAAGCAGAUUGGCUUUUCUUCAACACAUUUAAUGCAUUAGAAAAGGAGGUAGUUGAUUGGAUAAGGCCUCGAUACCCAAUCAAAACUGUCGGACCAACUAUUCCAUCGAUGUAUCUUGACAAGAGACUAAAGGAUGACAAAGAAUAUGGUUUGAGUCUCUUCAAGCCUAAUAGUGAAACUUGUAUGAAGUGGCUAGAUUCAAAGGAAAUUGACUCUGUUGUGUAUGUAUCAUUUGGAAGUUUAGCCAGUCUUGACGAACAACAAAUGGAGGAGCUAGCUUUGGGAUUGAUAAUGAGCAAAUGUUACUUCUUGUGGGUUGUUAGAGCUACAGAAAAGAAUAAACUCCCUGAGGAAUUCAUGUCCAAGUUAUCGGAGAAAGGACUAAUGGUGAAUUGGUGCCCUCAGCUCGAUGUAUUGGCUCAUCGAGCAAUUGGAUGUUUCUUUACUCAUUCUGGAUGGAAUUCGACUCUGGAAGCAUUGAGUUUGGGAGUGCCAAUGGUGACUAUGCCUCAAUGGUCGGAUCAACCAACUAACGCGAAAUUUAUAAGUGAUGUAUAGCAAACAGGAGUUCGCGUUAAGGUUGAAGAAAAUGGUGUAGUUAAUAGAGACGAAAUCGCGAGUUCCAUAAGGGAAGCCAUGGAGGAAGAGAAAGGUAUAAUGCUUAAAGAGAAUGCAAUGAAAUGGAAAAAAUUAGCUAAAGAAGCAGUAGAUGAAGGAGGGAGUUCUGAUAAGAAUAUUGAAGAAUUUCUAUCAAACUUGUAAUGCACUAAAUUGAGUAACAUAUUCAUAAAACAUUUGCUUUACCAAUGCUUCAGAAUUUCUAAUUUAAUUAUUGUUUUAUGUUGUUUCAUAAUGUAUAGUAAUAAAAGGUAUGAACUUGUUAUUCAGAAUAUUGAUGUGGCAUUUUAUUUAA